rnacentral:ncRNA from 1 species
GUCUGGAUUAGAGCAUGUCUCCCAAAAGUGGGAACCGGUUUUGGGAUAAAGACAUGCGUAAAAACAAAGAGAUAGAGCGGUUCCAGCGACUCCGUUUUAACCGGAACCGCUCUAGUUUUUCUGGCCGAUAGCUUUGGGCGGCUCCAUGCGCGAAUGCGCUGGAUUUGGAG